rnacentral:rRNA from 1 species
GGAUGCUGACGAGUGGCGAACGGGUGAGUAAUAUAUCGGAACGUGCCCAGUCGUGGGGGAUAACGCAGCGAAAGCUGUGCUAAUACCGCAUACGAUCUACGGAUGAAAGCGGGGGACCGCAAGGCCUCGCACUAUUGGAAUGGCCGAUGUCGGAUUAGCUAGUUGGUAGGGUAAAGGCUCACCAAGCCGACGAUCUAUAGCUGGUCUGAGAGGACGACCAGCCACACUGGAACUGAGACACGGUCCAGACUCC